CUUCCUGCUCUGGAGGGCGCGCGGAGCUUCCCUUCACUGGUGGCCAAGAGAGGAGAGAAGCAGGUUAAACAUCCCUGGCUCUUUAAGUCACUCCUCAUAGGGAUUCAUGGUCUCCAGACCUUUGAUCCUUUUAGUCGCCCUCCUCUGAACACCUUCUAGCUUGUCAAUAUCUCUUUUGACAGAAACGCAAACAAUCCCACCAAAGCAGUUCCUAGAUUCAUCCAGAACAACAAGCCAAUGCAAGAAAGACUGCCUUAUUAUUCAGUCUUCCUCUCAAGUUAGCUUUCUGACAUUCAGAUGGAUAAGAAAGUAGUGCAUGAGAAUUAUAGCUAUCUCUCAUUCUGUUAAAUAACAGAACUUUUAAGAAACACUGCCAAUAAAAAAUUGAAAUUGA